GNNNNCANNGCAACGGCUCGUACACGUAGGUACCUACCCUCAGGACUGAGAUAACCCCGGGAAACUGGGGCUAAUAUUAGAUAGAUAAAAGAUACUGGAAUGUUCUUUUAUCCAAAGCUUUUGCGCCUGAGGAUGGGCCUGCGUCCGAUUAGGUUGUUGGUGGGGUAAUGGCCCACCAAGCCUGCGAUCGGUACGGGCAGUGGGAGCUGAAGCCCGGAGUUGGGGACUGAGACAAGGCCCCAGGCCCUACGGGGCGCAGCAGGCGCGAAACCUCUGCAAUGCGGGAAACCGUGACAGGGGGAUCCCAAGUGCUCAUGCAUUGCAUGGGCUGUUCUUUGGUCUAAGUAACCAGAGGAGUAAGGGCUGGGCAAGACCGGUGCCAGCCGCCGCGGUAAUACCGGCAGCUCAAGUGGUAGCCGCGAUUAUUGGGCCUAAAACGUUCGUAGCCGGAUAAGUAAGUCUUUGGUUAAAUCCUGCGACUCAACCGUGGGAAUUCUAGAGAUACUGCUUGUCUUGAGACCGGGAGAGGUUGGAGGUACUCCUAGGGUAGGGGUGAAAUCCUGUAAUCCUAGGGGGACCACCUGUGGCGAAGGCGUCCAACUGGAACGGGUCUGACGGUGAGGGACGAAACCUAGGGGAGCGAGCCGGAUUAGAUACCCGGGUAGUCCUAGGCGUAAAUGAUGCGAGUUAAGUGUGGGGGCAUCUACGAGAUGGCCCUGUGCUGUAGGGUAGCCGUUAAACUCGCUGCCUGGGGAGUACGGUCGCAAGGCUGAAACUUAAAGGAAUUGGCGGGGGAGCACCACAAGAGGUGGAGACUGCGGGCUCAAUUGGACUCAACGCCGGAAAACUCAUCGGGAGCCGACAGCAGUAUGAUUGCCAGGUUUGAUGACCUUGCUUGACAAGCUGAGAGGAGGUGCAUGGCCGCCGUCAGUUCGUACCGUGAAGGCGUCCUGUUAAAUUAGGCAACGAGCGAGACCCGAA
rnacentral:rRNA from 1 species